rnacentral:lncRNA from 1 species
CGGGGGGGAGGGGCGGCGAGGUGCGGCCUGUGGGGCGGGUGCGCGCGCGAGCGGGCACGUGGGGCUCUUUCGUCCCCGGCGUCCGGGCGCCCUGCGCCAGCCCCCACUCCUGCCCCGGCCCCACGGGUGGCUGGUGAGCAGAAAGAUCCAAACCCGUGCCCCUACCGCGGGCCGGCGCAGUCGCGCCUUUGUGUUUGUGAAGUGCUCGUAACAGCCAUGAAAAGAAUGGCGUCCAUUUACAUAAUGCUUUGUUUGCAUCUUGCUGGUUUCUUUCUGUUGAAACCCGCAGAAACCCAACCUAGCAAUUCGGUCCUUUCUACCGUGGCAGUCUCUUGUCUGCUACUUGAAACAAUAGUGUGCGUCUCUGGAGGCCUUAUUUAAAUUCGAGCGGUGCCGACCAGAGUUGGAGGUUUCUGCGGCAUUUCCCGCGCGGCCUCUCCGGUUCUCGCUUUUCGGCCCUCUUCUCUCACAGCGCAGCCGCAGCGCCCCACUCUCGGGCGGCCCCUGGUGACGCCCGCCAUCUUGGGAGGCCUUUUCUGCCUAGUUCAUCUCGCUAGAAAAUGUCGCUGAGAUGCCGGCACAUGAGUUGUGAUUUCUACCCCUUCCCUUUCCUCUUUGAGCUAAGCCAGACUCCAGAAUGUCAAGUGAGCAAAGCAUACUUAGUCCCUCAGUGAAAGUGGGCUAACGUGGCGCUCCCCAUCGCCACCCCCCCCCCGUCGCCAUGUUUCCUGAACACAAAAUGGCGACACGUGGCCUGGAUUCGUCGCUCAGGAGAAAUUGGGGUCGCCCGAAAGCUCUAGAACGCGCCGCCUCUUGUUCACUGGGACUUCCCUGCGACGGGAGUCCUUAAGAUCCCUCCUGUAGGCUGGUCCGAAACGUGGCGGAAGAAGUUUAAUCCUCCCUCCUUUAAUUUGAAAGGAGAAUGUGAAUAAUAGUAAAAUGUAGGCACGGUGUCGAUCAUCUCGGCCUUUUUUUUUUUUUUAGAUUUUCAUAGUGUAUGGGCAGUACCAUGGGGAAAUUUCAGGUGUCCCCCCGCCCCUGUACCAAAAUACUUAGAAACCACUGCUUUAAGGAAUGAGAUGGGGAAAAUACUGCUUUCCCAGAUCUCCUAGUACACGGUGUUGUGCUGGGAAGACCAAAAUAUGAUUUUUAAAAUAAUACAAAUAUGUAGACAUACUCUGUAGGCAUUUUCACAGGCAGUUAGUUGGUCAGUGACCCACAGCUUAUUAUAAUUUGUAUUGUCUUUUAUGGUCUAGAAGGGACAGAUCUUAUGGUAGGCAUUUUAUUGCAUACUAUCUUAAUUUUUACCACACUCUACGAGGUAGUUAUCCCCUUCUCUUUCUCUCUUUUUUUUUAAGCAGAGGAAGACACUUAAGCCCAGAGAAAUGAAGUGAGCCAUUCAAAGUCAUACGUUGUCGGGGAUGGAAUCCAGACCUUCUGAUUUCUUUACUGGUGAGCACAUUUUCCAGUUUUUCUAUAAAUCAAGGUUUUUGAAUUAAAUUCAUUCAUUCUUUCUUUUUUUUUUUUUUUUUUUUGUAGCAAAAAAGCUACCAAAGGUGCUUAACCAUUGAGCCACAUUCCUAGCCGUCACCCUUUUUAUUUUUUUAAUUUUAAAACAGUGUUGCUUACAGCUUCGCUAAAUUUCUGAGGCUGGUUUUGAACCUGUGAUCCUCCUGCCUCAGCCUCCCGAUCUGCUUAGAAUUUAAAUUGUUUUUAACGUGUAAAUGUGCUGACUUUGAAGGUUACCUUUAGGUAAUCCUUUGUUGUGUAGUCAGCCCAUUUGUAUCUCCUUGGGGAUUUCCAUUUUCUCCUGAUGUGAGUGACACACACAUUUGAGCCCUGUCUGGGCUUAAAUGCUGUUCUGUGAGGUAACUGGAUAGGGAGAGAGAGAUGGAAGUGAUUCAGACCUUUCCAAGGCCCACGUGUCUUAGUCUGGCCUCCUCAGUGGCACAUUUGAGUUACCUGGCUCUAGGGGAGUGAACAAUUCUUUGAGAGACUCACUUGCUUCCUUCAGCUACUUGUGCUUGACUCCUUCUUCACUACCCCUUAUCCCCAGCUCUGUAAAAAUGAGUUAUUUUACUCUGGCACCAAGCCUCCAUUAUUCUGCAAAUAUUGACAAAUCCUGACAUAGUGUUAGAUAAAUCAUAGUCUGUGGACACCUCAGUGUAACACAUGGUUAGGGGGUCCAGGUAACAAAAACAUGCCUAAACAAGGACUACAUGGCUGUUAUAGAUGGAGAGGGAUUUUUGCUUUUAACUUACAUUAACGUGUGUAUCAAAUUUUCCAAAAGUCUUCAUAUUGUUUUAUAUAACUCUGCAAAUAACUUUGAUAGGUACAUACCUAGGAUAUAACUAAGUACUUAGUGCUAUUAUUAUUACAGUAAUAAUAAUAGCACUAAGUACUUAGUUAUAUGCUAGGCCCUGUUCUAAGCCUAUCCUAUGCUUUAACUCAGUGGCUCUUAACAUUAUUAAAAGUAAAAUAUUAGAAGAAAUCGAUCUUACAUUGUAAUUCAGAUGUACACACAUAUAUCACAUAUCGGUUCUUUUUUUUUUUUUUUUUUAAUUGGGAAUUAAAUGAGGAUGCUUUACCAUUGAGCAACAUCAUCUUUUAUUUAUUUAUUUAUUUUUAAUUUUGAGACAGGGUUUCACUAAAUUACUAAGUUGCUGAGGUUGGCUUUGAACUUGGAAUCCUGCUUCAGCCAUCCUAGUUGCUGGGAUGAUAGGUGUGUGCCACUGUACCCAUUUUAUAUAACAGAUUUUUUUGCAAAACACUACUUAUUACUACAUGCAAUGUAUUCUGGUUCCAGUUUCUGUUCAUUUAUUUAUAUUCAAACAUAAAAGGGGUUGUUAUAACUAAAAUGAUUCAAAACCCAUUAGUAGGUUGUGACUGGAAUACACAUUUAAUCCUCAUAUAAGCUCAUGAAAUGGGUGGUGAUAUUAUUUCCAUUUUACAGAGGUACUGAGAGGUGAAGGAGUUUGUCCAAGUUCAGAUAAAGUAGUAAAGUAUGGAUAUGAAUGUAGGCAAUCUGAGUCCACAGAUGGUAUACUUAACCAUAAGGUAGAUGUGGUCUCUGUGGAGUUCUUUGUAGGGAGACAAAGUAGAUUAAAGAAUUAAAAAUACUAGUAAUGGCUUGGCAUGGUGUACACACCUAUAAUCCUAGCCACUUGGGAGACUGAGGCAGGAGGAUUGCAAAUUUAAGGCCAGCCUCAGCAAUUUAAGCACUAAGCAAUUUAGCAAUAUCCUGACUCAGAAAAUAAAAGGGCUGGGGAUGUGGCUUAAGUGGUUAAGCACCCCUGGAUUCAAUUCCUAAUUAAAAAAAAAAAAAAAGAUACUAGUAAUGGUUCAAAUCCGGGUGCGCUCUCCAAAUACAACAAAAAAAAAAAUAUUAGAAAACAGGAGACGAAAGGACUAAAUUGCAUAUGGUCAUGGAGUAUCCUGAUUGAAUGCAUUAUGGUCCUCCAAAUUUACUUUUUUUAUCUUCCCUAAAGAAAUUUUUACCCAUCAGGUAAAAAAAAAAAAUUUUUUCCCCAAGAUUGCCUGUUUUAAUUCUUUUCUGCCUGAAAUAUUUCCUUGAUUUCUUCUUAUCUGAGUACCUCUAGGACUAAUUGUACUCCUCAGUGAAGUAUUUCCUUUCUCAUCUUCCUUAGCUCUUAACCUCCCCGAGAAUCCUAUAUCCCACCUUCAGUGGCCCACAUUUUACUGUUGAUGAAAUCCUAGAGUGAUGUGUCCUGUAGGCUCUCCAGGUGCCCUGGAGAUGCUGUAAUUUGUCAAAGUGGGCUCUGGAUUUUGGAAUCCAAGGCUCUGUGCCCUAGCCCCAUUCUGUGACUGACUAGCUGUGAGACUUCUACAAUUUAUAUAUCUGGGUCUCAGUUUUUUCCACUGUAAAACAAAAAAUUAAAUGAUCACUAAGCCAUUUUUAAAUUCUAUUCUGGGAGUGAUACUAUUUAAUGACCUUAUUAUCUCUGAGUGGUGGUGGGUAGGGUUGUGUAAAUGUUUUACUCACUUUUGGAAAAUUCUGUACUCCCUUACUCAGAUCUGGAUUAACUUUUGAAUUCCACAUUACCCAUUUUAUGGAUGAAGCUCCUGAGAUAUGGAACAAUGGAUUGAAUAGUCACCGCCCCAACCCUGGAAUCUCACACAGGACUCUUCUCACUCAAAUGACCACAGGUUGGUUAAGGGGUUUAAUAUGACUGGGAAGGUGAGCCAGGUUUAGACUUUGGAAGUUGAACCACAGGAUUUAUCUUCCAUUCAGAGAAACAAUUUUUACUUCCUCUUACAUUAUGUUGGCAUGUUAUAUACAUAAAACUUUAAAAAAUGAUUUUGUAUUACUUGUAUAAGCAUCACAGACAGCUUUGCCAAUAAGUUAUUAUUGUACCAAUUUUACUGAUGAGCCAUCUUUGGAUUAGAAGAGUGAAAGAAUUUGCUGAAGGUUAUACAGCUUAUUGGGACCUGAGUUAGAUUUUUUUUUUUUUUUUUAAUUAGCUGCCAUGACAUUACAAUGAUCUUGGCAAUUCAUACAUUUGAAUCAAUUGGGGUAUAAAUUCUCAUUUUUCUGAUUGUACAGAUUGCAGAAUCACACUGGUCAUAGAGUCACCUAUAUAUAUACAGCAUGAGUUAGAUUUCUUGAUUACUGCUUGUAGAUUGUCCUUUCCUUAACUUCUGAUGUCUGUGGCAUAGACUUUAUUUUAUUUUUUAUUUUGGUAUUGGGGAUUAAACCCAGGGUGCUUAACCACUUAGCCACAUUUCCUUUUUAUUUUUAUUUUGAAACUCGGUCUUGCUAAGUUGUUUAGGGCCUCAUUCAAUUGCUGCAGCUGGCCUCAAACUUGAAAUCCUCCUGCCUCAGUCUCCUGAGUUGUUGGAAUUAUUGGUGUGUGCCACUGUGCCCAGCUGUGUCACAGUUUUGAAACUUGGAUAACUUUAAAUUCAAAAAGCCUCCCAAAUCAGUCUUUGUUUUUCUGUCCUAGAACAUCCAUUCCAAUUACCUUAGGCUCCUUACUCUUGUUUUAAGAUAAUUUCUUCUCUUCUUGAUCUCUAGUGCUUACAUUUAUGAGUUUGUGAAGGAGUGAGAGUGAUUACUCAAUGAGACUCCCAAAUUCCCUGGUGGUAGGGACCAUAUUUCUUUUCUUUAACCUACUUGUCCCAGCAAAGUAUACUAUAGCUAUUUAAAUUUGCUCUAUAAACAUGUAGCAUUGUUUUUUAAAAACAUGGUUUAAUUUUUUUCUCCUCCAUCAGAGCUCUCUUUUAUUUAAAAUAAUAUUAAAUUGAGAGGGCCUUUUCUCUAUUAUAUUAUAGGCUACUAUAGCCUAGAAACUUGUCUUACCCACUUUGCAGAUAGUAACAAUUUGGUGUCAUGUGCUGGUUUCCUUGUUCUGCUGUUAGGAGAUCACUCUUUGGUUGCCUGAGAAACAUAAGAAGUUUAUUGGUGUAGUUUGCAGAAGUAACCCAAAGAUACAGCAACAUCCUUGGCCUAAGUUCUCCCUAUUAGACAAAGCAAUGCCCUUGGAUACUCUAUGGUAUCUCUGCCUGAAAUAGAGUAUGUGGAAGAGAUGGCAGAGGAAAGUUUAAAAAGGGGAAAAAUGAAAACUGAAUGCAAAUACAAAGUAUAGAAAGUGAGGAUGGGUAAAAAGCGAAGAGUGAAAUGCAGUAUUGGUGGGAAAGAGGUGAACAAAACAAUCUAGAGGUUCAUCACCCCUGCUUCCCUCCUGUGUGCCAGCGCACAGCUGGUGGUUUGAGAAGCAUAGACUGCUGUCUUCAAAGAAGAGCAGUGGAAAUGAUGACUCCUCUUGAGUUGAUUUCGGGUAGCACACACUUCCAUUUUUUUUUUUUUUUUAAACCUCUAUGUUCAUUACCAUGUAGAGUAAAUUUCUUUGCUUCUGCUAUCAGCUGGGGAUGGGAUUGGGUGCCAGUAACUUUAAUAUUAGCCUGAGUUCAGUUGAUUUAUCAGGGAAAAUAUGUUAAAAAAUUACUGAAGGUUUUCUUGGUCAAGUUUGUAUACAUUCAUUCAACAAGUCAUUAUUGAUUGUUUAAUAUGUCUUAGACACUAAGAAUAUACAAAUGCAUGAGAUCUUGACCUUGGCCUCAAGAUGUUUAUUAUCUAGAUGGAGAGACAGGUAACACAGACAUGUGUUAAGUAUUAAUAUAUGAGUUAGCAGAGAAUGCAGUGGGAGAAGAGAGGAGGGGCCUUAAUUUAGCUUUGGAAGCAAUGGGAGAAGGCGGUCUAGAUAAAAGUUGACAUCCAGAGUCCCAAAUGUGAGGGGGAGGGUAGGAAAGGGUAUUAUAGGCAGAGGGAACAAAAGUUCAAAAUCAGAGAGAGCAUAGUCCAUUGAGAAGUUGUAGGCAUUUAUGACGGAUGUUUGCAUUAUCCAAUUUUUAGUGAUUAUUGUUCUCCUGCUUCAGUAGUGUGGAUUAUUUUAACUUUACUGUGCUUGCUAUAGCAGAGAAAGUUGCAGACUUUAUUUUGGAGUAUUACUUCUGUUUUAAAAUGAAGACACCAGAAAUUGCACUUUUAUCUAGGAAUGCUAAGGAGAAAAUGUAAAUGAAGCCCAACCUUUGAAUUAGCAAAUGACUGGUGAUCAAUUGUACAGUAAAAGAAAGAAGGUACAGUGGCACAUCUGUAAUCCCAGUGGCUCCUGGAGACUGAGAGGAGGAUUUCGAGUUCAAAGCCAGCCUCAGCAGAUUAGUGAGGCAUUUAGCAAUUCAUUGAGACCCUGUCUCUAAAGAAAAAUAUAGGGCUGGGGUUGUGGCUCAGCGGUAGAGCGCUCACCUGGCACGUAUGAGACCCUGGGUUCGAUCCUCAGCACCAAAUAAAAAAAUAAGUGAAAUAAAGGUGUUGUGUCCAAUUACAACUAAAAAUAAAAAAAGGGCUGGGACAUCAGCUCACCUGGGUUCAAUCCCUGGUACCAAAAAAGAAAAAGAAGAAGAAAGAAAGAAGGUACAGCAGAGUGUGAUAGUGUAAGCCAGUAGUCCUAGCCAAUUGUGUGGUUGAGGCAGGAAGAUUGCUUGAGCCCAGAAGUUCAAAGCCAAUUUGGGCAGCAUAGCAAUACCCCAUCUCAAAAAAGGAAAAAGAAAGAUGCAGUGUACAGUGUAUCUUUGUCAUCCAACUUUAGGGUCUGUUGUGCUCUGUUUUGUUUUUAAGGCUUUAAGGCUGUGUGUGUGUGUGUGUGUGUGUGUGUAAAUUUAUGGUCUUAUUCAGUUGGUUAGGAUAUUUGAGUUAGGGAGGAGGGAAAGGGGGUCUAGAAUAAUUGUGCCUUUUUAUGGCAGAACAAAAGAAAUACCUUUCAUGCUGGGAGGUGGCACACGCCUCUAAUCCCAGCGGCUCUGGAGGCUGAGACAGGAGAAUCACAAGUUCAAAGCCAGCCUCAGCAACUUAGUGAGGCGCUUAGCAACUCAACGAGACUCUGUCUCUAAAUAAAAAAUGGCUGGGUAUGUGGCUCAGUGGUUAAGCAUCCCUGGGUUCAAUCCCUGGUCCAAAAAAAAAAAAAAAAGAAAAAAUAUGUUUAAAAAGCUCUGAUCCCACCAACUAAGCACAACAAGGCAUAGUCAGGAACUUUGUUUUAGAAAGACAGUUACUUCAACUAGACAAAAUGUUUGUUCAACAUCAUUCACUUUGUAAAGUCUGUUUUGUUCAGAUUAAGAGCAUUGAUUUUUGUUUUUGUUUUUUUUCCCCACAUGGUCCUAGCUCCAUUAAACAGAAACCUUAUGUGUAUUCCUUGAAUAAUGCUGGGAUUUUUACUGGAUUAAACAACAACAAAAAAAAAGGUAUAUGUGAAAUAGGGAAGAAUAAAUUUAGCAGUCAGCUUGUAGAUUCAAUGGUCAUUUCUCAGUCAUCUUUCUUACCUUUCUUAUCAGAAGCAGUUGCUGCUCCUUCCUUGCACUAUGGCUUCACUUAAUUUCUAUGGCAUUCUCUUAGCUCUCUGUCUACCUCCUUGGCCCCUCUUCCUUAACAUUUUUUUUCUUCCUAAUGCUUUCUCAUCUCUUUAGCCUCCAGUGACAGAGUACUCAAAGUAGUCCACCUGUUCUGCCUACACUUAUUUCUUAGUGCUUUAUUUUUUUUUCAAAACUUUAAAUACCAUAUAUCCAGGUGUGGUGGCGUACACCUAUAAUCCCAGUGGUUCAGAAGGCUGAGGCAGGAGGAUUAUGAGUUCAGAGCAACUCAGUGAGACCUUGUCUGUAAAUAAAAUACAAAAAAGAGCUGGGAAUAUGGCUCAGUAGUUAAGCACCUCUGGAUUCAAUUCCUGGAAGCAAAAAAAAAAAGGUCUGGGGAUGGUUCUCAGAGGUAGCAUGCCCCUGGUUCAAUCCCCAGUAUCUAGGAGAAAAAUUUAUACACAAAACAUUUUUAUAUUUAAUAUAUAAAAUAUUUAUGUGUAUCAUACAUAUAAUAUACACUUUGUAUAUUAUAUAAUAUAUAUAUUUGUUAACCUGAUAAUUAUUUUUUUAUUUUUUUGUGGAGCUGGGGGAUGUAUCACUGAGCUACUCACCCAGCCCAGGACAUUGUUUUGAUCAUUGCUGUGUUCUCAUAUUCUAGAAUAGUGCCUAGGAUAUUGGAGUUGAAUGAAUAAAUUUAUUUAAUUUUCAAACAAAAAUAUAUUUGGUAUAUAAAGGACCACAUAACAAGGGGAAUAUCUGUGAAUAAGGUAUUAUUCCCGCCCCUAAAUUGCUUAUAACCAAAAAAAAAAAAAAAAAGCUGUUUCUUUAGCAUGAUAAAGUGCUACAUCAUUCUGGAAUUGGGGAGAUUAAGGCUAGUAUAAAGGGGUGUGCUUGUCAUCAGAGAUGAAGUCCUGCUUUGUCAGGCCUAUCAAUCAUUUGUGCUCUUUCUGGGAGGGCAGAAUUGAUGAUAGUUUAGUUCAUUACUGGCUUUUUAGGUUACAAUUCCUGAUUGGUCUUGCCUUGUUAGAGCAGUUAUGACCUUUUGAAGAAUUUCUUAAAAAUCCCAUUAUUAGUCUUAAUUCUUUUUGGGUGCCUUCUAGGUAUCUUCUAAUGUAGCCCCUGCCUCCCAGGAUGAGUGAAAAGAGUUCACCAACUUUACCUUCCGCAUAUCUGAAAGUUCUUUCUGGUAAUCCUGCCCAUCUGCUUACUAACUAUCUGGUCUUAAAGCUCUCUGAACCUGUUUCUGUACCUGUCAAAUGGAGAUAAUGACAAAUGACACCAGUCUUUGUUAUGAAAGUUAAAUGAUGAAUAUAUAAUUUUAAAAAUAGAAUGGAAAGUGGAAGAGGGAUUGUUAUUUUCUUUUUAAGUAAAUACUAUAUAUCUCUGCCCUAUUUUGAAAAAAGUUAUAAUAUAUACUUAAUUGAAUGUAUAUUUUAUAUGUGUAUGUAUAUGUAUCUGCAUAUCUAUAUAUCCUCUCCACUCCCCUGGACUGGGAAUUGAACCUGGGGGUGCACCACCACUGAACUACAUUCUUAGACUUUAUUUUGAGACAGGGUUUCACUAAGUUGCCUAGGCAGGCCUUGAACUUGUGAUCCUCCUGCCUCAGCCUCUCAGGUUGGUGAGAUUACAGGUGUGCACCACUGUAUGCAGCAGAGCUUUUGCUCUUAACUGUUAUGCUAUCUGUCUUUAGUAGGUUGAGGGGAAGAGAUUGAACAAGAACUGCAUCUUGUUGAACUUGAACUGAGUGUAAAGGGUUCUGACAUUAUUAACUUUUAUUUCUGACCAUAAGCAUCUUAUCAUCAUAGCAUGUGCCUUAAUCCUCUGAACUGGUUCUUCCCUCAAUCCAAAGAAAUAUAUGAGCAAUAGGUUAAUUGUAGUCUCCUCUUGUAAGAUUGGGUAUUUCCUGGGCCAGGAAAUGAAGCUAAAUAAAUAUGUGUGUCUCAGUGUUCUUUGGAACAGAAGUGGGAGUUUCUCUGAUCUUUUGUGGUUAUGCUUGUUUCUCCUCUUCUUCUUUUUUAAAAUUUUUUAGAUGUUGGUAGACCUUUAUUUUUAUUCAUUUAUUUUUAUGUGGUAAAAUCGAACCCAGGGCCCCUCACACAUACUAAGUAAGUGCUCUACCAUUGAGCCAUAAUCCCAGCCCCUGUUUCUCUUCUUCUUCUUUUUUUUUUUGAGAGAGAGAGAGAGAGAGAAUUUCAAUAUUUAUUUUUUUUAGUUUUCGGCGGACACAACAUCGUUGUUUGUAUGUGGUGCAGAGGAUCGAACCCGGGCUGCAUGCAUGCCAGGUGAGCACGCUACCGCUUGAGCCACAUCCUCAGCCCCUGUUUCUCUUGUUAAUACAACUGGUAACAAAGAGAAGCAGAGCAGUGUACUGAGAAUUUUCAUGGAUUAUCUCAAUCCUUAAACAUAACCUUAUAAAUAGUCAUUCUUUCCAGAUAUGGUGGCAGUUGCCUAUAAUCCCAGCAACUUUGGAAGCUGAGGCAGAAGAAUCACAAAUUCAAGACCAGCCUGAGUAAUUUAGAGAGACCCUAAGCAAUUUAGCGAGGCCCUGUCUCAAAAUAAGAAAUAAAAGGGCUGAGGAUGUAGCUCAGUGAUAGAGUUCCCCUGGACUUAAUCCCUCGUACCAAAUAAAUACAUCGUCAUUUUUACUCCUGUAUUUUAUAGCGUCAAAGAGAGAUUAGGAAAUUUGCUUAAAGCUACACGGUUAAUAAAUAUAAGAGUUGGGAUUUGAAUAAAGUGGCCUGGCUUCACAGUCCAUGCUUUUAAGCUUUGUGUUCUGCUCUUUCUAGGCGUCUUUGACCUGUGUGAAAUAGGUGGUACAAAUUGAAUAUCCCUUAUCUGAAAUGCUUAGCAUUAGAAGUGUUUCAGGCUUUGGAGUUUUUUGGAUUUUGAAAUAUUUGCAUAGAUUUUUACUAGUUGAGUAUCUCUAAUCUAAAAAUCCAACAUCUAUAUUUUGAAACUCAAAAGGUUGCUCAACCUAUGUAGGCCAUGUGGUUUGAGAGGUAGAAGGGCCAGUUUUGUUUUUCCCAAAAUGGCAAGAUUUUGGUUAGUGACUAGGAAUAAAGAGGCCUUUGAUCUUUCUUGGUUCUGUUACCAACUUGUUAUGUCUAGGAGUUCAGUUUUCUUAGCCUUGUUGUCGUCAUUCAUUAAACAAAGGAAUUCCUCUAUAUGGUCUAUAAGGUCCCUUUAAACUCUCAAGUUCUGGGAUUGAUAAUAGCAAGUAAGAAGAAUGACAUUUUUUAGCUUGGUGUAGUGGUAUUUGUGCAGUCUUAGGAACUCUGCUUUAUGCAAGGAGGAUGCCAGAUUUCAGUGAAGGGUUGUGCCUCCUUCCUGAAGAAGGCAGGUCUGGGCUCUUUUUUGAAAUUGGUUGCCAAAGGAACUUAGCUGGUCAGCAAUAGCCAGAAAUGCUUUGGUUGAGGCUUGGGUACAGAUAACUAAAACAAACAGGUUUCAGUCCUUACCUCCCCUACUCCCCUGCCCCCCAUCAUUCCUUUCCCUUUCCUUUUCAAACUGCUAGUUCUGAACACUUUCAUGUGUAGGGCACUGUUUUAAGUACUUAACAAAGUGUUAUAUCAUUUAAUUUUUAUAGUAAGCUUGUGAGAAUAGGGCCUUUUCUAAAUUUACAGAUAAUGAAAUGGAAGGAAAUAAAUAAUUUGUCCACGUUUACUCAAGUAGAAAAUAGAGUCAAAUCUAUGCUUUUAGCCACUGGGUUAUACUGUCUGAGUAGGUCUAAAAGGAAAAAAAAAAAAAAAAGGUAGAAGGAGAACUUUAGUUUUUUGUUAGUGAGUUUUGUUUGUUUUUGUUUCGUUUUAUUUAGAAAUGAUGGACUCUCAGAGCUGGAAAGGGCCAUUAAAGUAAUUUAAUACAAUCUUGUCUCCAGUCUGCCAACCAAUUACAGGAAUGCUUUCUAUUGUCUCCCUGACAGAUAAUCAUCCAAAUUCCCUUUGAAUAUCUCCAUUGAUGGGGGAGUGCAUCACUUCUUGAAGAUAUUAUAUUGUUGAAUAGCUCUCUUUGGUGGAUAACUGUUUCUUCUUUUGAAUUGAAAUCUAAUUCAGUCUUCUCAUUAAUUUUAGGCCAAUCCCAUGAACCAUAUAGGAUAAAUAUAAUUCAUCUUCCAUAUACCAGUCUUGUGAACUUUUGGAGACAGUCUUCCUAAGGCAUAUUUGCAAUUUUCUUAUAGCAUCUAAACUUGCUUUGAAUUCUGAUUGAUAUGCACAAGAGCAAUCUCUGCCUCUUACUAUUUUGUAAAUUCAACCUAACAUCUUUAUUUCUUGUGAUAACUUAGGCACAAAGUGGGCCUUUCCCACAUCCUUGGAGAAUGAAUAGAUGGUGAGCUAAGCCUUUACAAUUGCAUAUGAUUUUGGAGGAUUUGUAAUCUUCUACUCUUAUAAUUUCUAGAAGUUCAGGCUGCUGCCUUGCACACUGUUAGAAGUCACAAAAUGGCUGUAAGUUUAUCCCAGGUCGAUGAACUGCAUUUACUACAUCAGACCACUAGGUGAUGAACAACUCAAAUCCAGACUGCCAGGGACUGUGGUGUACAAGGAUGGUUUCUGUUUGGAAUUGGAAAGGCCAUCCGAAGUCAUCUGGUCCAACCUUAUUAAAAGGAUUUUUGGGAGUAAAGAGAGGAAAUGUGUUUUUUGUAUACUUUGUUUUUCCUGGGUUUGUUCUAAUUUUAGAUACUGAUUUUGCUAGGUUGUUUCUUUGAUUUUUAUACAAGAGGGGCAUGGACAAUCUUUUUUUUUGAGAGAGAGAGAGAGAGAAUUUUUUUUUUUUUAAUAUUUAUUUUUUUUUUAGUUUUCGGCGGACACAACAUCUUUGUUUGUAUGUGGUGCUGAGGAUCGAACCCGGGCCGCACGCGUGCCAGGCGAGCGCGCUACCACUUGAGCCACAUCCCCAGCUCCUAUGGACAAUCUUUAAAUAUAUAUUUCUUUAAUUUUUAAUUUUUCUUAUUCCAUAUUUUUUAUUGGUGCAUUAUAGUUAUACAUAAUGGUGGGAUUUAUUGUUACAUAUUUGUACAUGCACACAAAAUAAUAAUAUAAUUUGGCCAAUGUCAUUCCCCAGUAUUUUCCUUUUCUCUUUCCUCUUCCGGUCUCUUUACUCCACUGUCUCUCUUCCAUGAACAGUCUUUUUUUUUUAAUUUAUUUUUUAGUUUUCGGCAGACACAACAUCUUUCUUUGUAUGUGGUGCUGAGGAUCGAACCCGGGCCGCAUGCAUGCCAGGUGAGCGCGCUACCGCUUGAGCCACAUCCCCAGCCCCAUGAACAGUCUUUAUAUGUCCAAUUUUUUAAACAUUUAAAUUAAAUUUAUUUUCUGACAUACAAAAACAAAAUUGUACACAUUCAUGGUAUAUCAUGUGAUAUUUAAAUCAAGUUAAACAUAUCUAUUCCCUCAUAUAUUUCUUUCUCUUUUUUUCUUUUUUGGUACUGGAGAUUGAACCCUGGGGUAUUUUACCAAUGAGCUAGAUCCCUGGCCCUUUUUAUAUUUUAUUUUGAAACAGGGUCUCCAAUAAGUGGCUAAGGGCCUCACUGAGUUGCUGAGGCUGGCCUUGAAAUUGCAGUCCUCCUGUGUUAGCCUCCCAAGUCACUGGGAUUACAGGUGUGUGCCACCAUCCCCAGCUCAAACAUUUAUUUCUUUAUGGUAAAAAUAUUCAAAAUUAUUUCUUCUUUCUGUUUGAAGUAUAUAGGACAUUAUUGGUAUCAAUGUCAUCCUUCUGUGCAAGAGCACAGCAGAAGUACUACUUUUUUUUUUUGGUACUGGCAAUUAAACCCAGGGGUGCUUUACCUCUGAUAUGCAUCCCUAUUUUUUUUUUGAGAUAGGGUCUUGCUAAAUUGCCAAGGCUGGCCUCUAUUUUGCAAUUUUCUUGCCUCAGUCUCCUGUGUUGAUGGGAUUAUAGCCGUGCGCCACCACACCCAGCAGCACACUAGAGCUUCUUACUCCUGUCUAACUAUAACUUAGUAGCCGUUGAUCAACCUCUUCCACUCCUUAUUCUUUCUUUCUCUUUCUAUCCUGUGGUAACUAUUGUUCUAUUCUCAACUUACAUAAGAUCAGCUAUUUUUAUUUUCCACAUAUGAGUGAGAUCAUGCAGUACUUGUCUUUCUGUUCCUGGCUUAUUUUACUUAAUAUAAUGAUCAUCAGUUUCAUACAUGAUGCUACAAAUGACAGGAUUUUUUUUUAAAAAGAGCCCAUUCUUGCCAGGCACAGUGGGUCAUGCCUGUUAUCCAGUACCUUGGAAGCUGAGGCAGAAGGAUCACAAGUUCAAAGCAAGCCUUAGCAACUUAGUGAGGCCUUAAGCAACUUAGUGAGACCCUGUCUCAAAAUGAAAAGGGCUGGAUGGGGCUGGGGUUGUAGCUUAGUGGUAGAACACUUGACUUGCGCAUGUGAAGCACUGGGUUCAAUUCUCAGCACCACAUAAAAAUAAAUAAAUAAAAUAAAGGCAUUAUGUCCAUCUACAACUUAAAAAAAAAAAAAAGGCCUGGAGAUGUGGCUCAGUGGUUAAGUGUCCUUGGUACAACCCCUGGUACCAAAAAAAGAAAAAAGAUUUCAUUCUUUUUUAUUCCCGAAUAGUAUUCCUUUAUGCAUAUGUUCUGCAUUUUCUUUAUCCAUUCAUCAGUUGAUGGACACUGAGGUUGUCUCCAUUUCUUAGCAAUAGACCUGGCAGUGCAAUGUCUUCUUUGUUCAAUUCUUUGUAAACUUCAUGCAUGAAUGAUGUCUUGAUUGGGUUUAGGAUUCUCCAUCCUCCCUACUGGGGAUUGAACUCAGGUGUGCUUUACCACUGAGCACCAUCCCCACCCCUUCAUUUAUUUAUCUUUUGAGACAGGGUCUUGCUAAAUUAUCUGGGCUGGCUUUGAAUGGUGAUCUUACCUCAGCCUCCUUAGUAGCUGGGAUUACAGGAGUAUGCCACUCAGCCUAGCUGGGUUCAGGAUUCUUGAAAUACUCGUCUUAGUCUCUAUAAAGACUGUAAGCAGCUUUUCACUAUCUUGAUUUUCUAGUGAUACAGAUGAGAAGUUCAGUGAAUAGGAUUUUUUUUCUUUUGUGAAUAAUAACCCGUUGUCUCUGGAGGUUUCUGAAUUUUUUUGUUCUUGCUUAGAGUUUCACCAUAAUAUGCUGAGGUAUAUUUUUUUGGAGGGUACCAGGGAUUGAACUCAGGGGCACUCGACCACUGAGCCACAACCCCAGCCCUAUUUUGUAUUUUAUUGAGAGACAGGGUCUCACUGAGUUGCUAAGUGCCUCGCUGUUGCUGAGGCUGGUCCUCCUGUCUCAGCCUCCCAAGCCGCUGGGAUUACAGGCAUGUGCCACCGCACCCAGUCAGUAUCUUUUUAAAGUAACCCUGCUGGGCACUUGAUGAGCUUAAAUCUUUCUUAAAGGACAUUGUAUUGCUUUCCUUCUUUCUGUUUCUAGUCUCCUUACUUUAUAGAAGAAGAAACUGAAACCAAACCCAGAAAGAUGAAAUGUCUUGCCUAUAAUCAUAUAGUUAUGAUUGAACCUCAAGAUAACUUGAUUCUUUGAACUAAAAUUUUAUUGUAUUAAUAUUGCUUCAGUGAGUGGGCCAUUUUGAAUAAUUUGGAAAGUUUUUAGUGAAACAGGAAUUUUGGAAAGGGUUCAUGGGGAGGUGAACAAGGAAGAAAAGAUAAUAAAAUUCAUUACAAUUAAAAUAUAGCCACGUCCAGGUGUGGUGGCACACGCCUGUAAUCCCAGUGGCUCCAAAGCUUGAGAUAGGAGGAGCGAGAAUUCAAAGCCAGCCUCAGCAACAGUGAGGUGGUAAGCAACUCAGUGAGACCCUGUUUCUAAAUAAAAUAUAAAUUAGGGCUGGGGAUGUGGCUCAAUGGUUGAGUGCCCCUGAGUUUAUUAUUGGUAACCCCCCCCCCCCAAAAAAAAAAUGUGGCUAGGACUGAAGAUGUAAUUCAGUGGUAGAGCACCUGCUUGGCAUGCAUGAGGCCUUGGGUGUGAUCCCCAUAUUGAAGAAAAAAAAAAAAAAAGGAAAAUCUGCCAUUUUUGAAAGACUAAAAAGUUUAUAAGUCCCUUACUAUCACAAUUAAUGAGCUACCCCAAAGCUCUAAAACUGAAUAAAACGAGAAAGUUGCUUAAGCACUCAGGGAAUUAGAUAUUUAGUAGUCAGUGGAUAAGAGUGGUCAUGCCCUGUUAUAAAUAUUGGAAAACAUAUAAAUGGCAUCUGAAGGCUGGCUUGGAGACAGACAUCAUAAACCAUGUCUUAUCACUGGUCUGGUUUCUGUUUUGAGUUCCAUCCUGAGACCCUUUUCUGAUGGGAACCACCUGUUCCUAGCUCUAUUGAUCUUUGGAUUUCCCCAGCUCUACAGUACCUUUCAGUUUUGAAAUGAAACCUACCUCAGAGGGUGAGGUCAAGUACCAAGAGGACUUUGACAGCUCACACCAGGUUGUUUUAUUUUCCAGGGCUGUCUGGUAUGUGUCUGCGUGAGCUGUGAGGCUCAGCAAACUGUGAUAGAGAGUAAUUGAUGAUGAAUCAGCUAUUGUGUAAGGCCUGGGCAGUGUCAUUUCUUUGGGUGACCAGGAAAACAUGAGGAAGUACGUUGUGUUUUAUCCACAGAAAGUUGAAAGUUAAGAGCACAGUCCACCAGAGAGCUGCCUAUGAUCUCUCUGCCUUUGGUUCACUUAAGAAGGAGAAGCUUUAUCUCAGCUGCUUCUUUCUUCAUUUGUAGAAUCUACUCACCUCCUUUUUAUUCAAGCCUCUAGCCUCCUCUUGCUGCUCCAUCUAUAGUAAUCCUUUAUAGUGUGCUUCCUAGAAUUGCUGCUUUGUGAAGUGACUCCUUUAGAUACCCUUCCUUCCAACUUGGCUCUUCACAAAAUACAGCUUGUCUUGCUCCCUUUGCUGUAAACCUGGUUUCCACCAGAUUACAGCACUUCACUUGGAAUCUUUACAAAUAGAACUAGCUCACCCUUUAAUUCACCCUUAAAUGACUUUGCCUGAUUGUCCUCAUCCCCAUUUCCCAGCACUUGGGAGCUGCUUUUAGACCUUCAAAUAUCUUUUCCCCGUUGAGAUUUCUACCUGAUCCUUGUGAUCCUUGUUCUUUCUUUCUUUUUUUUUUUUUUUUUUGUACCAAGGAUUGAAGCCAAGGGUGCUUAAACACUGAGCCACAUCCCCAUCCUUUUACAUAUUUUAUUUAGAGACAGGCAGGGUCUCUCUGAGUUGCUUAAGGCCUUGCUAAGUUGCUGAGGUUGGCUUUGACCUCCCUUUCUAGGCCUGUGGCCCUACUUGGGGGUUCGGUGGCUAGGACUGACCUGGGGCCAAGGAUUCAGAAUAGAGUGUGGAAUUAGGGGGAUUGGUGUUAGCAUUUUCAGAUUUGGGCAGAUAGGAAGCCGGAAGAUGUGAACAUGAAGACUAGUGGAGUGUGGGAGGGACAAACAGAAGAUAUCUUUUAUAGGCUUCCUCUUUUGCCCAUUCUGUUUUGGAAAAAAAAAAAUUUUUUUUUUUUUAACUUAGAGAAAAAAGGGUGAUUACUAAAAAACAAAAAAUCCCCAAAAGGGUAAUUGCUGUUUGGGGUUUGGGGUAUGGCUCGGUGGUAAAAGGAGUGCUUGCCUAGCGCUCAAGUCUCAUUGCAUAUCUGCAAUCCCAGUUGCUCAGGAAGCUGAAGCAGGAGGAUCACAUAUUUGAGGCUAGCCUCUCCAAUUUAGCAAAGCCCUAAGCAAGUUAGUGAGACCCUGUCUCAAAAAACAGGAAAAAAGUGGGGGCUGGGGCUGCGGAUAUAGCUCAGUGGGAAAACACCUCUGGGUUCAAAGAAACAAACAAAAAGGCCCUGGAUUUGAUCCCCAGCACUACAAAAAACAAACAAACAAACAAACAAAAAAACCACCAGAAACAUACAUACACACACACACACACACACAAAGUAUAAUUUAGAAAGAAUAUGGCAAGUUAUCUUUUUAAAAAGUCAAAAUAUUGUAAACAUAUAUAUAUAUGUUUUUUGUUUAUUUGUUUUGGCACUAGGGAUUUAACCCAGGGACCCUUUACCACUAAGCUAUAUCUCCAGUCCUUUUUAUUUUUUAUUUUGAGACAGGGUCUCCUAAAUUGUUGAGGUUGACUUUGAAUUUGGGAUCCUCCUUCCUCAGCCUACUGGAGUUGCUAGGAUUACAGGCAUGUACCAUUGUGCCCAGCUGUAGAAAAUAUUUUGACUACUCCCCCCAUCUCAAUUAUUUUUAUAGUCCUUAGUGGUAACACACUGGUGUUUUAGAAUGAAACUUUCAGACUACUUUUUUCCCAUGAGUUUAUAUCCAUUUGUAUGAAGUGCAUUUUGGUGAUUUAUUUACACAAAUAUUAUUACAUUUUAUGUGUCAUUCUGGUAUUUCCUUUGUUUUUUUUUUAAAUUUUUUUUAGUUGUAGAUGGAUAUAAUAUCUAUUUUUGUGUGGUGCUAAGGAUCUAACCCAGUGCCUCACAGCGCAAGGCAACUGCUCUACCACUGAGCUGCAGCCCCAGCCCCUCCUUUUUUGUUUUAAGAAUGUGCCUUGCCAGUAUUCCAUAUUAGUACAUAAAGAUACAUUUCGUUCUUUUUAAAAAAAUAUUUAUUUUUUUAGUUGUAGUUGGACACAAUACCUUUAUUUUAUUUAUUUUUAUGUGGUGCUGAGGAUUGAACCAUGUACUAUGCGAGCACUCUACUGCUGAGCCACAACCCCAGCCCCACAUCUCAUUCUUUUUGGCUUCUGUGUAGUGUUCCAUAGACUGGCUAAUAACUUUUUUUUUUUUUUUUUUUUUGUACCCAGGGAUUGAACCCAUGGGUAGUUAGCCACUGAGCCACAUUCCUAGCACUUUUUAUUUUUUUUUAUUUUGAAAUAGGACCUUGCCAAGUUGUUGAGGCUGGCUUUGAACUUACAAACUUUCUGCCUCAGCCUUCUAAACUGCUGGGAUUACAGACAUGCACCACCACACCUGGCAAUAUUUAACUCUUCUAUUGAGGGAGAUAAGAUAUUUCUAGUUUUUUAAUAUAAUAAAUGAUUCUUGUUUUAAAUGUUGGCAUUCUGCUGUUAGGCCUUUUCCACCGCCCUGUGCUUUUCCUCGUACUUACUCUGGGUGAUCUCAGCCUCUUUGACAGUUUGUUACCAUCUACAUGUGGAUGAUUCCCAAAUCUCCAGCCCAGAUCUUUCUCCAGACCAGAAUAUCCAACGGCUUAAUGGAAAACUCCACUGGAAUGUCUUUUAUUCAUGACAAAACACAGUCUCCUGCUUUGUCCCACUUGUUGUUUCUCCAAUGCCCUAUCAUAUACAUUGUAAUUUAGCAUGUAAUGACUGAAGCCCAAAACCUAGUAGGGAUGGAUAGUUCUUCCUUCUUUCCCACAUCUGAUGACCAGUUAGUCACUAGGACUUGUCUUCCUUCCAUCCUCAGAUUUUUAUUUUCUUUUUUUCCUAAGCACUAGGAAUUGAAUCCAGGGCCCAUUAUUGCUGAGCUACAUCCCCAGCUUUUUUUUUUUUUUUGAUAUAGAGCCUUGCUAAGUUGCCCAGGCUGGUCUCAAACUUGAAAUGCUCCUGCCUCAGACUCCUGAGUUGCCGGGAUUAUAGGCAUGUACCACCAUACCCAGCUCUUCAAUGUUUCUUUUUUUUUUUUUUAAUUUAUUUUUUAUUAGUGCAUUGUAAUUAUACAUGAUAGUGGGAUUCAUUAUGCCAUGUUUGUAUAUGUAUAUAACAUAAUUUUCUUAGGCUUCUUCCUUUUCCCUUCCUUGAUAUUUCUUGAAUCUAGUCAUUUUCAUUUUUCAUUGCUACUACCCUAUACCUGGGUUUCCUAAUUUAAAAAACCAUAUUGUGAGCAUUUAAAUGAAAAAGAAAUCUAUCUAUCAUUCUACUUACUUGAAUAUCUAUCUAUCUCUAUAUAUCCCUACCUCCAUUCCAUUCUCCACACUGUAAUAAUCUUUAUAAAAUAUAAGGAUGAUUAUGGAGUUAUUCCUCUGCCUAAAAAUAGUUCAGUGAUAUAUCUGUUAGGCUUUUGUUCAUGUUAUCUCCACCUAGAAUCCUUUCCUAUUUGAUUUUUGAAAGGCUGGCUUCCUUUUAUUGAGAUACCGGCUUUUAAGAUAGAUGCUGAUGGCAUAUGCUUGUAAUCUCAGUGAUUUAGGAGGUUGAGGCAGGAGGAUCACAAGUUCAAGGUCAGUCUCAGCAGUUUAGUGAGACUCUCAGCAUCUUGGACUCUGUAUUUCAAAAUAAAAGGGACUAGAAUGCUCAGUGGAAAAUUGUCCCUGGGUUCAAUCCCGUACCCCAUAGCCCUACCAAAAAAAGAAAGAGAGAGAUAUACAAGCUUUUAAAUGUCAUCUCUUCUGAGAGGCAUUCCUCAGACUGAUUAAUAAUUUUAAAAGUAGUCACCAGAUAUUUUCUAUUCCAUUAUCUUAUUCUUUGAGUAAUACUUAGUACUAUCUGAUAUUUUUCUGAUUUAUUUGCAUAUUUGUUUAUAGUAUUCUUUAAUUAGAAUUUGGCCCUUUUUAUUGUCAUUCUACUUACUUGAUCACCUUUGGUAAUUCCAGUGUUUGCCAGGAUGAAUUUCUAACAUGCUUGACUUGAAUCAUCUAAUGUGCUUGUGUUUAGUUUCCAAAUCAUGUUCAUGAAACUAGAGUAAACCUGACAGGGGACUUGCCCAUGAAAGGGACAUGUAUGCUUAGGAUGAAAUGGAGAACCAGUGUAGGAAGAUUGUUAACUCAGGUAGGAAGAUUGGCUGAAGACAGAAUAACUGAGAGUGGAACAAAAUUGUAAGCAAGGUGAGAAGCAAAAGGCCUGAGGGAUAAGGCGAGGCAAAGAUGAAACAGGAAGCUGAACCAUUAGGUCAGAAACCUAGAGAAUCAGGAUAGUGUAAGCAGGGACAGGGCCAGCAGUUCAGGAUUAGGGUCAUAAAUCAACUUGGGGACUACUUAAAUCAUCUUUUAGUAGUCUUACCUUUUUCAUCUAGAAACAGCUUUUGAAUUAUCAGGUCAUUGACCUACAAGUGUUUGAGUGAGAUUGCAUAUUCUUUUCUUUGUAUUUUAUUUGCUAUUUAUUUUAAAAUCAAAGUCUACCUUACCUAUCCUCCCUCAGAUUCUGCUACCAGAUUCUGUUACCAGAUUCUGUUUUGUAUUCCUUUAAAUAUAUCAGGUUCAACUAUCUCUGAAAUAAGUUUCUUAUAUGAAAGCCUGAAGCAGUCCUGGAGUUCCAUUCAGGUAGGAUGAAAGGAGGGAGCACUCCUCAGACCAUCUCUUCCCACUGAACCAGGCAUAGGAGCUCAGCAGCCUCAGGAAUUCAAGACUCUGUUGAGACUGAAUCUGGAAUUUUGGGAGGGUCAUAAGAGUUUAGACUAUAGGAAGGAAUUCUAUCAAUGAAGCAUAGUCAGAAUUAGUAGAAGACUGAGUAGAUAUGUGUAGAUGGCAGGAUCUAAGGGUGUGGAGUAGAUUUCAAGAUUUCUGAUCUGGAAUGGUCCUCAAAUUAGGCAAUGUUAGGGGCUCUGAUAUACCAAGUAGAGAGUCAUUAGUAGUACUAGUCCUUAGCCCUUAGAUGUUUUUUGUAUUUUACUGUGUAGCCUAGAGCUCUUCUAUAUGCUGAGAAGGAGUCAUGAGAGUAGAAACAGUACUAACUGAGAGCAGAAGUAGUUUCUCUCUCUCUCUCUUUUUUUUUUUUUUGGUACCAGAGAUUGAACCCAGGGGUGUUUAACCACUGAAUCACAUCCGCGGCUCUUUUUAUUUUGAGACAGGGUCUUGUAAGUUGCUUAGGCUGGCCUUGAACUUGUGAUCUUCCUGCCUCAGUCUCUGUAGUCACUGGAAUUACAGGCAUACACCACUACACUCAACGAACAGUUUCUCUUUUGAAGGUUAGAUGGAGUGGUUGUGUGUGCAGAGUGGAUAGUCUAUAGCCAGUCAUCUGGCCUGUGUAAGGCAAGACAUCUACACUCCCCUUCUAGGGCUCUGUUGGGAAAAUUAGGCUAAGAGUCAGCAAUUGUGACCAUUGUUCAUGAUUUCCCCAUGUAUUCCUGGUCUUUGCUUAUCCCGCUGCUCUAAGCUCCAGGCUCUGAUGUUCUGCCUUCUCUUUUAUGGUUUAAGGCCUUCAAAUUGCAUAUUCAUUCUGAAUUCUCCUUCUAGAUUAUUCACUCCAUACCCAGCUUGGCUUUGCCCCUAUAUCAUCCCCUAAUUUUGACAUUGCUAUCCAGGUUUAAGUAAGGGCCUUCCUCCAUUAACCCUGUUUCUAGAGCUAUUAUUUUUAAACUUUAAUGUGUAGAAAUUACCCAUGGAGUCAAGUGGGAGCCUGGAUACUUGUUUAAAACAGACUCCUGUUCUCUUCCUAGAUAUUCUGAUUCAUUAGAUGUGAAAUGGUGACCAGGAAUCUAGUUUGAUCAUCUUCCAGGCUGAUUCUGACCCUUGACAGAGGUCCCUGUCAGCUCCUCAUCCCUAAAAGAGCAGGAAGAGAAUUUGAAUCCUUUAUUUGGGUUUUAAGAUCCUAGAACCAUAGUCUUGUUGCCUGUCAUGCAAUGAUGACAGUGUCUUAUAUUCUGUCCCUCCAUCUCCUAUGAGAGUGCCAGAACAUGAGACACCGUAGGAACAGAGCCCAGGUGAGGUGGAAGACCUUAAUAUCUCUCCAAUUGCAGAUCAGUAUCUUUGGGGUUUAUAGAGAACUUUGGCACUGGACUUAGAGAAAGUAGGUUAAUGUAGACCCUGAGGCUGCCAGUCACACUUCAGAUUUGCCUCUGGAGUUCUUCUCAUUUUUAUUUACAUUGACUGUGCUCUGACAUUGGUUUUCCUUAUCUAACCUUGAAGCUGCCCUCACUCUCCAUUGUGGCCAUCUUCUAUACUGCUUCCAUCCAUCUUUCUAUGGACAACUUGAUGUUAUCUUUCUCCUUUAAAAUCUUCUGUUACAUCCCUAUUACCUAUAUACUCAAGUCCAAAUGUAUCAGGUUGGAAUAAACAAUCAUGAACAAUUUGGCCCAAAUUGUCUAAAGAUCUGCAAUAUCUUAUGUUUCUCCAAUCUCAUUCCAGGCUACUCUCCUCCUUCCUUACUCCUACCUUCACUUGCUUACAGUGGCUUGAUCAUUUUUCCAGCUAUUUCUGGCCUCAGGGCCUUUGCAAUACCAUAUGGCCUCUGCCUGGAAUACUUUUUACCUUGUACUUUAUCUCAUUAACUAUCCUUUGACUUACCAUGUCAACUAAUAUUAGUAUUUGUAUAAAAAAGAGGGCAACUUUGUAUAUCUGUAUAAUCUCCUCUUAGAGAUCUUUUUUGGCCACUGUAUAUCAAGAAACUAUCUUAGUCUUCCAUUGGCUUUAGUCAGAUCACUUAAUGCUAUUUACCUGUUUGUCUUUCUCUCCUUUUAGAUUAUAAGCUCCAUGAGGGCAGGGGUCUUCUUGUUCAUGAUUGUAUUUUCAGUACCUUUUGCAUAAAGCCACUCAAUAAGUCCUUGUUGACUAAUCCAUAUUUUUGUUUUCUUUUUAGUAUCUGUUUUGCUGCAUUGUGGCUCUGCACAGCUCUUGCCCUUUGCAUAAGCUGUUGCCUGUCCCAGAAACACCCUUUCUCUUAUUAACUUGUCAGAUUGCUUCUUGUCCUCUACUGUUUCUUUAAGCAUUUUUUUGACCUUCCCAGGUUGUGCUGGUUCAACAGAGACAGUGUUUUGUUCCUCUUGAAUAGGUUUUCUCACCCUGUGUUGUGAUUUUGCCUAUGUGAAAGAUAGGUGGUAUUGCCAGUUUUAUAGGUGACCAACUGGAGGCUCUGAGAGAUUAAUUAACUUGAAAAUAGGAAAUCUGAUAAUUUGAACCCUGAGAAGCCCUGUUCUACUUCACUAUGCUCCCUCCAAAAAAAAAAAAAAAAAUCAGCAGAUAUAGAAACACUGAAGUCAAAGGGGUGCUUAUUAUUAUUAUUAGUUAGGAAAACUACUGUGUAUGCUCUUUAAAGUAUCCUGAGAGUUAAACACAGUAAAAUAAGUAAUAUUGAUAAGCCAUUAGUAGGGAUAAUAGAGAAAAAGGGUGACUGUAGUGUUCAAAGGAUGAUGUAUAUUUCAUGUAUUUUCUUGGUCAUAUCCUUGGUGACUUUUUUUUUUUUUUUGGCUACUGGGAUUGAAUCCAGGGUUGCUUUACCAUGGAGCUACCACCCCAGCCCUUUUUAUUUUUUAUUUUGAGACAGGGUCUUGCUAAGUUGCUGUGGCUGGCCUUGAACUUGUGGUCCUCCUUCCUCA